rnacentral:rRNA from 1 species
UGGUGGGUAGUUUGACUGGGGCGGUCUCCUCCUAAAGAGUAACGGAGGAGCACGAAGGUUGGCUAAUCCUGGUCGGACAUCAGGAGGUUAGUGCAAUGGCAUAAGCCAGCUUGACUGCGAGCGUGACGGCGCGAGCAGGUGCGAAAGCAGGUCAUAGUGAUCCGGUGGUUCUGAAUGGAAGGGCCAUCGCUCAACGGAUAAAAGGUACUCCGGGGAUAACAGGCUGAUACCGCCCAAGAGUUCAUAUCGACGGCGGUGUUUGGCACCUCGAUGUCGGCUCAUCACAUCCUGGGGCUGAAGUAGGUCCCAAGGGUAUGGCUGUUCGCCAUUUAAAGUGGUACGCGAGCUGGGUUUAGAACGUCGUGAGACAGUUCGGUCCCUAUCUGCCGUGGGCGCUGGAGAAUUGAGGGGGGCUGCUCCUAGUACGAGAGGACCGGAGUGGACGCAUCACUGGUGUUCGGGUUGUCAUGCCAAUGGCACUGCCCGGUAGCUAAAUGCGGAAGAGAUAAGUGCUGAAAGCAUCUAAGCACGAAACUUGCCCCGAGAUGAGUUCUCCCUGACUCCUUGAGAGUCCUGAAGGAACGUUGAAGACGACGACGUUGAUAGGCCGGGUGUGUAAGCGCAGCGAUGCGUUGAGCUAACCGGUACUAAUGAACCGUGAGGCUUAACCUU